rnacentral:misc_RNA from 1 species
GAUGAAGAACGUAGCGAAAUGCGAUAAGUAAUGUGAAUUGCAGAAUUCAGUGAAUCAUCGAAUCUUUGAACGCACAUUGCGCCCCCUGGUAUUCCGGGGGGCAUGCCUGUCCGAGCGUCAUUACAACCCUCAAGCUCAGCUUGGUAUUGGGCCCCGCCGACCCGGCGGGCCCUAAAGUCAGUGGCGGUGCCGUCCGGCUCCGAGCGUAGUAAUUCUUCUCGCUCUGGAGGUCCGGUCGUGUGCUCGCCAGCAACCCCCAAUUUUUUUCAGGUUGACCUCGGAUCAGGUAGGGAUACCCGCUGAACUUAAGCAUACCAAUAAGCGGAGGA